CAGCCGCCACGGUAAAACGAAGGGGGCUAGCGUUGCUCGGAAUGACUGGGCGUAAAGGGCGCGUAGGCGGUUUUGACAGUCAGAUGUGAAAUUCCUGGGCUUAACCUGGGGGCUGCAUUUGAGACGUCAAGACUAGAGUGUGAGAGAGGGUUGUGGAAUUCCCAGUGUAGAGGUGAAAUUCGUAGAUAUUGGGAAGAACACCGGUGGCGAAGGCGGCAACCUGGCUCAUUACUGACGCUGAGGCGCGAAAGCGUGGGGAGCAAACAGGAUUAGAUACCCGCGUAGUCCCUGUCUCUUAUAC
rnacentral:rRNA from 1 species